UACGGAGGGUGCAAGCGUUAUCCGGAUUUAUUGGGUUUAAAGGGUGCGUAGGCGGCUUUGUAAGUCAGUGGUGAAAUACGGUAGCUCAACUAUCGAGGUGCCAUUGAUACUGCGGAGCUUGAGUACAGAUGAGGUAGGCGGAAUUGACGGUGUAGCGGUGAAAUGCUUAGAUAUCGUCAAGAACACCUAUAGCGAAGGCAGCUUACUAGGCUGUAACUGACGCUGAGGCACGAAAGUGUGGGGAUCAAACAGG
rnacentral:rRNA from 1 species